GUCCACACCGUAAACGUUGGGCGCUAGGUGUGGGAUCCAUUCCACGGGUUCCGUGCCGCAGCUAACGCAUUAAGCGCCCCGCCUGGGGAGUACGGCCGCAAGGCUAAAACUCAAAGGAAUUGACGGGGGCCCGCACAAGCGGCGGAGCAUGCGGAUUAAUUCGAUGCAACGCGAAGAACCUUACCUGGGUUUGACAUAUGCCGGAAACACCUAGAGAUAGGUGCCCUUUUAGUCGGUAUACAGGUGGUGCAUGGCUGUCGU
rnacentral:rRNA from 1 species